rnacentral:lncRNA from 1 species
CUCUUCCGCCUCCUGCCUGGUUCGCCGCUCCCCUCCGCGACGACACGCCCCCAGCCCACUCCGCCGCGGGACGCCUCAUCCCGCGGGUACCCUUCACAGGUUUAACAGCCUCCACCCCUCGGGCACCAAGCAGUGUUAUCCAGGAAAAAAAAAAAAAAAGAGACUGAUUCUCAGUAGUAAUCUCUGUGCCUGUGAGGAACUUAAUGCAAGUCUCAGGAUCUCAAAAUAAGACCUACGAGCAUAAAGUAAUGAGUCUGUCAAGCUGGAUUUCCAUGCAUGGGGGAGGAUCUCUUUAAGUAAGGAAACUUCCUUGUGCUUCUUUAAGCACAGUUGCUAUCAUUCCGGGAGAAGCUCCUUUUAACCCAUAUCUUCUUCCAACUAGCAUCCUAUUUUUUUUCUUUCCUUCCCAGCUGAACUUCUUAAGGACCAACCUAUAUGAUGUGAUAUUUUAGAUAUUAACCUAUUUUUCUUGGUAUUCCUUGUAUAGCUUGCCACUUUCCCAACCCUCACCCAUAGGUUUGUUGCAUUGAAGAAAGGAUGUAGAAGGAAAAUCUUUCUGGCUUUUGUUUCUAGACUCUCAAACCCCACAAAUGGGGAGAGGAUUCAGGCCACAGAGAAAUGGCUUCAGGAGAAGCCAAGGGCAGGGGUAUAUAGGUGGAGGGAGAACAGGCAGCAUCUUCCUCCCCCUCAACUCUAGAAACAGAUUUCUCUGGGUCUGAGAGGGUGGGAGGGUGCUUCUAGGUGGACAAAACCACACAGCCCGUUUAACCUUCCUGGUCUCCAAAAUAUCCCGUACCCUAUCUUAGUACAGAGCAAUAUUUCAAAAUCCUGACAAAACCAGAAUGGAGACUCAAAACAGAAAUUGAAUUGGUGGAAUAUAUUAAAACAUAUUUCUUUACAAGCUUGA